UUUUUCUUUGCAGUGAGAAACUUCAAGUCAUUAAGACCUCAAAAGUCUGUUGUAAGGAAUAGUUAUCAAGCCGUUAUGGAGCCAUCUUGGAGGCUACUCACCCCUUCGGUAAGCUUAGAUGUAAUCCAACGCAACUCAGAUCAACAAAGCCUAUCCCAACUACUUCGGGUAAGAAGCAAAUAAAGAAAAUGGAUUGUUUUAUUUAUUUAUUUACAUUUAUAGUUCUUGAGUUCUCUAUUCAUCUCCGUUGCUUUGAAGUUAUAAUGAAUUUGUCUUGAUGUCGUAUGUCAGAGGGUUCCCAAUCUAAUUGGAGGUAGAUCUGUUGAUUCCCAGUCUUUUCCAUCAUGGAGAAAUACACUAGUUACCACUUGUCAACGCAUCAUGUUCAAAUUUCAAGAGCUUAUUUGGAGGGACAUGGAUAAGCUUGCUAUGAACAUUACUACUGAACAUGGAAAAACACUAGAGGAUGCACCCAAUGAUGUGCUGCAUGGACUUGGAUCUGCCUCGGAGCAAUAUUCUCUAUUGCAUUGAUUGGGGAGAAAAUUACAAGCUUCCAGUAAAAUUUUCAAUUGCUGGUAGACGGUUCAAGUAACCACUGAGCAUCAAAAUUUUCAAUUGCUGAUGUUCUUUCCCUGCCGAUAUAUUUGGAAGUAAUAUCUGUUACAAAAGCUUUUCUUGCGAAACUUAUCUAUCUUUUUAUACAUUAGUAACUGCAGAAGUCCGUGAUUAUUGCAUUUUCAUAUAUUCCUGA